UGCCCCACCCCCUACAGACCCUCUGUUGUGCCCCACUCCUUGCAGACCCUCGGUUGCCCAUCAUUUUUCAUGCAUGCUAAGAACUCAUUAUAUUAUUUGAUUGAAAGAAGCUGGAUUGCACAAAAGGUGAAGUAGGGAAGUCCCCGUCAUCCCCAGUAGUAUCCAUGGCUGAUUUUAUGCAGAAAAUGGUAAAAAAGAAACACCAAGAUAUAGUGUAACAUCUUCAAAAUCGUAAGACAAGUAGUUCCCUGAGAAAUGCCCAUGAAAAAAGUUGAGUAGAUUUUGCAACUGAAUGCUACUACAGUACCUCAAAAGCUUUCAAUAUUUAGCAAAAGAGCACCAUGCCCCCAUGUCACAAAAAAAGCAAAAGCAAAAGCAAAAGGCAUUUUGUAAACCAGGCUCCAUGUUUGCGUAUCGUGAAGUUAGGAAAAAGCAAUUAGAAAACAAGGAGCAAAACAAUGAUUUAGAAGCUUCUGUGAACAAUGAAAGUGCUAUGGUUAUGACUAAUCCUUCUACACUAUCAAGAGUCGAUGAGGAUGAAAAUGCAGAGGACUUGGAGAUAACGGAAGUUGAAAAUGCACAUGAGUUUGAAGUACCGGAAGAUACUGAGAUUGAAGGAAGAAAGCAACAUCAACAAAGAUUGCUAAAAAUCAUUACGUCAUAAGCUGGUAAAUUUUCUCUUUUAUUUCAAUAAUCUAUACUAUGAAGAGUUAACAAAGAUUCUCUAUUUCAAUGUGUCUUUAAUAGCAACAAGAGGAUACUAAUAAGCAAGAACCUUCUCAAGGUAAGGUGUACAGAGAAUCAAGGAGAAGAAUUUCCGGAAAAAACAUAUUCCACCGGCUAUUAGGAAACUACGGAAAAUAUUGCCAAGAUGGAUGCUCUAGAUUCCAUCCAAAAUGAAGAAGGCAACUGAUCUAAGGAUCCUUACUUUGACGUCAUAAAGAAUCCCAAGCGCAAUAGUCGAUUACACCUUUACGGGAAAGGUGUGACGAAGAAUAGUUUAAAGAAAAGAAAUACAAACUCGAGAUUCAUAUUUCCUCAGGAAUUCAUACAAAGUAUGCGGACAUAAUUCGCGGAGGAGAUUUCUUCGAGCGUGACAUCAAUGAUUCUAUCUCAGAUUCAAGAAGCUAAUCCAGAAUUAAAUAUUGUCAUUCCUAAUUUUUAGAUUACGCUUGCACCAAGGGAUGAAUCUAGUGCUCCAAAUAAUAGUGAUGAAUCAAAUGGCCAAUCAUCUAUUGGGACACACUCUUUACAUCAGGUGAAUAAUGACGCAAGUGUAGAAGACCGAACUGAUAUCCUACAUUCAAUGACGAAUGGUGGAGGAUAAGUUUUAACAAAAGGAAUAUGGUGGAAGAUUAGUUAUCCUAAGAAAUUUCUAUAAACAAUUACUUUUUACAUAUAGUACUCAUUUUUUUAAAAAAAGGGAUAUGGUGGAAGCUAGCUAGUAUAUAUAUUGUUGUACGUACGGUUAAAAUGAUUUAGCUUAUUAUUUUAUACUUCAUUAUGUAAACAAUCCCAAGGCUAUGGAAUAGACUUUCAAGUUUUAUAGU